rnacentral:misc_RNA from 1 species
GUGAAUUGAGCUGGCUUCGGCCGCUCUGAUCUAUACACACCUGUGAACUGUUGGCCUUCGGGUCUUUAAUUACAACUGUGACGAACGUAAAUUAUUAUAACAAAUA